UUUAAGAGGGGAAAUAUUUAUAUUAUGUUAUAUUAUAUAAACAUUUAUAUCAUUACAAACGAUUUUAUAUUAUUUGUAUUGGUGUUUUCUAUGACAGAAUGGUAUAGUUUGAGCAUUGAGAGCCGACUGCUUUGCCUAUUUUUAAAUCAUGGAUCCAGUAUUCGCACAGCUUCAUGAAAUCGAGCAAGACUGAUGUCUUUGUAGACACGAUGAUGUAAUUUGCCAUGCAUCUUGGAAGUUGUAGUCGAUUUAAGACUACAGUGUUAAAUGCGACCAAUGAAAAAGACUUCAUUUCCCAGAAUGCUUCCUCUCCCUAGAAGAACCAGAUGUCUGUAAUUCAAAUUCUACCACAGAAGCAUCCUUCGUGUUGAUCUUCAAUACAGUUUGAGUAAAAUGAAAAAAAAAACACGAUAGUAGCGCAUUUUGUGGAACAGCAGACUCAUCUCCAGUCAAAGACUGACUCCCUGAGGCCACCAAAAAGGAAAACAAAGUACUUGAUCUUGGAUUAUUUGGUGGAGUGGAUCUGAAAUAGUGGAAAUAAAAAACCCAGGCCAAAACUGUGAACUGGAGAGCUGUACAUGGGAAAAUAGGAUUCCCAAUUUUGUUGUGAUUGAGGCAGUAAGAAGUCCUUAAUGUGCACAGAUGAGUGAGCUGGAGGUCAAAAAAAGGCUGUAAAAUUACAGUAUAUGGCUGGAAUCAGUGCUGCCAUUAAUUAACUGUAAAUUUACAGGGACAUUUUUUUAAUUGUAAUUUAAAUGUUAGAGGUGUCUUGAUCGAAAACAACUUGCACUGACAUAACUUAAAAUAUACAUCUGAUAUACAUACAGUAACAUCUGACUAAUAACAUUUAUUUAAACUCUUAAAAAAAUUGGGUUAUUUUCAACCCAUAGUUGGGUCAAAAAGGGGGGUUGUGUUGUGUUCAAUUAACUCAGAAAAUGUUUAUAUUUGACCCAAUUAUGAGUUGAAACAACCCAGCCUAAGUUACUUAAGCAAUAAGGUACAAGAGGCUGUGCUUUAUCAUGAAUAAGGUACAGCUUUUAACUAAUCGGAAUCAAGGACUGGUAAGAACUACUGUUGGUCACCAUUCACUUCCAUUCUAGGCAUAACAGCAAUGUCAACAUUCAGUGAACUUUUCCUUUUGUAUUCCAUAAAAUAAAGUAAUAUUUAGAGUCAAAAUGACAUGUGACAUGAUAAAUGACAAUGGGUAAAACUAUAAAAGAGAAAUUUGGUCUAAUAAUGAUCAAAAUUUUCUUUAAUCUGUAGUCUUCCAGAACUUCCUCUACACGAGUGAACAUGUCACCAUUGAGGAACUGGAGUGAUGAGAAUAAUGAUACGCUGUGACAGAUGAAAGUGAAAUACUGUUUGUGGAAACAAAAGAAGACGUUGUAAAGAAAGAUGAAAGAACUAGUGGAAUGAAAAGAGGCGCCAUAGUAAGAUUAUUAUUCAGUUAAACCUUAUUGAAUUAUAAAUAAUAAUGUUUAAAUAUAAUAAUAUUUGCAUGGGCAACGUGGGAAACAUUUUUGUCUCAUACACUCAACAAAAUAAAAACACAAUAUAUCUUAUAUGCAUUAUUUAGGACUAUUAUAAAUGUAAAAAUAGCACGGUACGACCAUUUGAUACCAUCACUGUAUUGUAGUCCUGACACAAUGCUAUAAUGCAAAAAAGGAAAUAAGUUUGAGAUAUAUUAGUGGUACCAUGCAUGUUUGUAUCUUCUCUUUGCCCGCCUCUCUGAAUUGCACAGAUUUUUACAAAGCUCAUCGUUCUGAAAAGGGAGUUGUUCUAUGAUUGGCCAGUUACCCAGUGCUUAGUGAUUGGUCGAAUACUGCAAGCGUGUGAUGGAAAUGUAACGCCUCUUUACAUAUUCGGAACAUUGUGUUCCCAAGCAAUCAUACUGACAGGUUAUAAAAUGUCAUCAGUGCUUUCCUUAUCAAUUCGAACCAGAAUCUGAUCUGGAAAAUGAAGAUGAUCAUCCCGAUACAUCAACUUUGGCAGUGUAAUUUGAGCAGGAUGUUAAGGAUUGGUUUUAAAAAAUAUAUAUGUUAAAUAGUUAAAAACUAUAGCUAACUGUUUUACCUUUUAUGUACGAUGUUAUAAUGAUUUGCCAAUAAUGAUCAACCAGUGUUAUGCCAUGUCUCGUCGCAUCUCUACAAAGACAAUAAGCCCCAUUAUAAACACAAAAUUUGUUGCCUCUAGUUUGAACAUAAUUACUGAUUAUUAGGACUUAUGUUGUUUUUUUUUCACGUUGCUCACGUGUCUGCAUUUAAAGAUCACACAAAGAAACAAACUAAACUUGCGUUAGUCUGUAACAAAGUAUUUUACAAUCAAAAUAUACUUACAGGCUGCAAAUCUGAAGUACCAGACGGUCCUUGCAAAGUUGUAAUGUUUGCAAUUGCCCCACAUUAACAAAAGCUUUCGUGCACAGCCGGCCUUGAUCUCUCCUAGGUUCAUGAAGAGAUCAUCUGUGAAAUGUGCUGCACACACUUGAAUAUUUGGAUUGUACUGUUCUGGAACAGUAUUGUAAAUAAAAUGUAACCAUUCGUUUUUAGAUGUCUCAUCUUUUGGAAGGGCAAACAAAGGCUUUCUUUUCGCAACAAAACAUACAGCGUCUCCACAACAUGGCUGCGGUGGCGACGAUACAAUGAGAUUUACAAGUACGCCCACCUUACUUGCGUAUAGAUUUGGGCAGUCUUAGUCAAGUCAUACCACAAAAUCAUGUACAUUCGUGAGAGUGUGGUUACACGAGGCGUUUCGGCAGGUUUGGGUGAGCAUACGCUUUUAGAUGGAAUGCAUCUUUAUGCAUGCAUGGGUAACUUAUGACACACCAAAGAGACAGAAAAACACAGAAAAGUCAGAAAAAGUUUUGGUCAGAAAAGUCAAAUAGGUUCUGAGAAGGUGUCUUGUAUUUUUUUGUUUUGAAUCAUUUGGUUUGAUAUUAUGUACCAUUUAAAUGUGUCUUCAAUACCAACUACUCCUCAUGGCUGUUGGCAGCAGGAUUCCGGCUCACGGCCAACGACGAUGACUCCUCCGCUCCCCACCUCGGCCCAGGUGCAUGGCAGCGAGCUGUCCCAGCCGAUUCAUCUCGUUCCAGCACCACUGCCUCGGGCAGCUGCUGGCGGACAUCCCUUGUCCACGCUGACUGAACUCCUCAGCACCGCAAUGCCCCUUAGCAGCGAGGGCUCUCAGACAGAAUGUCUCUCCUUCCUCCCGGGUUUCGGCACCACAGUUCACAGUGGGGAAGGAAGGAGGCGGGAACCGGGUAACAUUUAACAAACUUUUAUCAAAAUAAACAAACAAUAACACCAAAGCCAAAAGAACAUAAAUACAAACUUAAAACAUAUGUCCGGGCCCGGUCCCCUCUCAUCAGCAGUCCCGUCGCUCGUCGUCUUACGCUCACAAUUUCCUCCGUGAGAUAUGCAGGACCACUGUGCGCACAGCUGAUUCCAACUAUAACUCACGCCCCCGGUUCCCACCUAACGGCUCCCGUCCUGCCUUCCUCACCACAGUUACCGUUAUCUUAAGUAAGGUUUAUGGUUUAAAUUGAAUAAUUUAAUAAAAUAAAAAUAAAAAUUCCUGACAUUAUUUAGAUAAAAAUCAAUUAAGACGCUGGAUACAUUGGUUAACUAUUCAAUUAUAUGCCUGAUUAAACAAUUUAGAGGAUAUCUGUGACAAAAUAGUGGCACAUCGAUGAGAAACGUUUGAAUAGGGGUGUCAACAACAAUAAUGACGUAAGUAUUCUGCAAACAGUUUCCAAGAUGCAAAAAUAGAGCUUGAAUAAAAGCUAACAGGUAACACUGCAUUAACAUUAAUCCUAGACUUAAAUUUUGAAUUCAACUGUAGUGAUACAUAAUGGCAUUAUUUAUUCACAUUUCUUUUUAUUCAGCUGUAUAUUUUUAUUUGUUCAAUGUAACCUUAACAUACAUUUACUUUCAUCCAUUUGGCAAACACUUUUAUCCAAACCGAUUUAUAUUGGAUUAUACUAUACAUUUGUUUGUGCAAUCCUUGGGAUAGAACCCAUGACCUAGGUGUUGCUAACGCAAUGCUCUAACCACUGAGCUACAGGAAACAACAAAUAAUAUAAUUUCAGCUGGUGUGGAUCAAGAUCAGGGAUAUUAAAGAUGUUUGUAUGAUGUUUGUAGUGACAUUUUGCAGUAGUUUCAUCCAGGUUGCUUUGCAUUUUGGCUAUUUUGACUUCAGGUUGAUGAUGAUAAAUGAUGUGAGUGAGAAGGUUUCGAAGGUAAUGCGAGGAGGAGAAUAUAAUUUCCUUAUGCGAUAUGACCUUGUUGAAACUGAAGUUGUUUCAUGUUAUGGGUACAGCUGGCUUUGUGAUUAAAGUUAUUGCGGUCAAUACAUGUCUGCUCGUGGAGAUCCGGGUUACUGACCAGGAUGGCUCUGUGAAGUUGCCGCGGUGGCAAGAAGAUAAAUAUGUGGAUUUUCUUGGAAAACAAUUAAAAGAUUUUCCCCCCCAAUUUUUUUUUUUAAAGAACAAUAUGGACUCUGUACUUUUCACCACCAACAAUCCACAGCUUUUGCAGCUCACAGAUGCCCUAUGCUAGGAUGACUUAAACUGGUUUAAUACUCUGGUUUUAAUUUUCUUUAUGGGUCUGGUUUUACUUAAUGCAUAGUUAAUGAACAGCAGCUACGCUAAUUAUUCUCUUUAUUCUCUUUCUGCCUCUGCCUCGGGAUGCCCAUUUCCCCAAUUUGAGAUUACGCCAGCUACAGCUGCAGACUGACUGACCAUCCCAGCUCCAUCUAAGGCAAUUCCACCACCAGCAAAGAGAAAUAUGACCAUCGGACCAUCCAAGCUCAGACCACUACAUCCCCAACCAAUGGCAAAGACGGACUAUUUGUCUUAUUAAUGCUGAAGUUACAAUAUGUGGUAUUAAAUGCUAAACUAAAAUCACAUGUCACCAGUUUGAGUGCAGCUAUGACACGUCAGAGGGGAUCUGGCCCUCCUGGUUGAGCCUGGUUUCUCCCGAGGUUUUUUUCUCCAUUAAUCAUUCAUUGGAGUUUGGGUUCCUCGCCACAGUAGGGCAGUGUUGGCCUGCUCACUGGGAGACUGCAUUCAUUCAUUUAUUUAAUUAGAUUUAUUUAUUUAUUUAUUUGAUCUUGGCCAAAACACA